GAGAAGUCAGGCCAGAUUAAGCCAUAGUACGGAAAGAGCUAUGCUGCCUGUGAGCCCCGUCCAAGGACGUAAAAUGAAGUCAGGCCGAAAGCCACGGAUUGAGCAAGCCGUGCUGCCUGUGGCUCCAUCGUGGGGAUGUAAAAACCCGGGAGGCUGCAACCCAUGGAAGCUGUACGCAUGGGGUAGCAGACUAGUGGUUAGAGGAGACCCCUCCC
rnacentral:lncRNA from 1 species